GACGAACGCUGGCGGCGUGCCUAAUACAUGCAAGUCGAGCGGACCGAAUGGAAGCUUGCUUCUGUUCGGUUAGCGGCGGACGGGUGAGUAACACGUGGGUAACCUGCCCGUAAGACCGGGAUAACUCCGGGAAACCGGGGCUAAUACCGGAUAACACCGAAGACCGCAUGGUCUUUGGUUGAAAGGUGGCUUUUGCUACCACUGACGGAUGGGCCCGGGGCGCAUUAGCUAGUUGGUGAGGUAACGGCUCACCAAGGCGACGAUGCGUAGCCGGCCUGAGAGGGUGACCGGCCACACUGGGACUGAGACACGGCCCAGACCCCUACGGGAGGCAGCAGUAGGGAAUCUUCCGCAAUGGACGGAAGUCUGACGGAGCGACGCCGCGUGAGCGAAGAAGGUCUUCGGAUCGUAAAGCUCUGUUGUUAGGGAAGAAGAAGUACCGUUCGAAUAGGGCGGUACGGUGACGGUACCUAACGAGAAAGCCCCGGCUAACUACGUGCCAGCAGCCGCCGUAACAC
rnacentral:rRNA from 1 species